GGGCGCGGGCGGGGCGCGGCCGCGGCGCCUCAGUCGAGCCGGACCCGCCAAGCGCGCCGCACGUUCUCUCGCGCCCGCACCGAUGCGCGUACCGGCCGCUCGCAGGCACUCGCCCGCUGCCACCGCUGCCGCCCCGGAACGCUGUUGACCGCUGGUGACCGCGCUGCUGCCAUCCCCGGCCGUGAUACGUGGAGUCUCGGACCGUAACCGUUAGUGCCAAAUUUCCCGGGACGAGACGUCGAGAGAAGUUUCGAGUAAUUCCACAACAAAUCGAAGGUUGAAGACAGUUUCUGUUUGGAAGUUAAAAAGUGCGGCGAUGUCGCGCCGGCGCGGGUUCGAUGGCGCCGGGUGAGCGCGUCCCAAGGCUAGGCGCCGAUGCGCGCCUGGCUGCUCGUGUGGGCGGCGCUCGUCGCGGGCACCGCUGCGACGACGGCGCAACACCACGCCCGCCCGCACACAC